AUUGAACGCUAACGGCGUGCUUAACACAUGCAAGUCGAGCGGCAGCACAGUAGUAGCAAUACUAUGGGUGGCGAGCGGCGGACGGGUGAGUAAUGCAUAGGAAUCUGCCUUGUAGUGGGGGAUAACCCGGGGAAACUCGGGCUAAUACCGCAUAAUCUCUACGGAGCAAAGUGGGGGACCGUAAGGCCUCACGCUAAAAGAUGAGCCUAUGUUGGAUUAGCUAGUUGGUAGGGUAAAGGCCUACCAAGGCAACGAUCCAUAGCUGGUCUGAGAGGAUGAUCAGCCAAACUGGGACUGAGACACGGCCCAGACUCCUACGGGAGGCAGCAGUGGGGAAUAUUGGACAAUGGGCGAAAGCCUGAUCCAGCAACGCCGUGUGUGUGAAGAAGGCCUUCGGGUUGUAAAGCACUUUUAGUUGGGAAGAAAAGCUCAAGACUAAUACCCUUGAGUGAUGACGUUACCAACAGAAAAAGCACUGGCUAACUCUGUGCCAGCCGCCGCCGUAACAC
rnacentral:rRNA from 1 species